rnacentral:rRNA from 1 species
UAGGGUAGUUUGUUUAUCCUAAUUACUGGGCGUAAGCGUGCGCAGGCGGUUGUGCAAGACAGAUGUGAAAUCCCCGGGCUCAACCUGGGAAUUGCAUUUGUGACUGCACGGCUAGAGUGUGUCAGAGGGGGGUAGAAUUCCACGUGUAGCAGUGAAAUGCGUAGAGAUGUGGAGGGAUACCGAUGGCGAAGGCAGCCCCCUGGGAUAACACUGACGCUCAUGCACGAAAGCGUGGGGAGCAAACAGGAUUAGAUACCCUGGUAGUCCACGCCCUAAACGAUGUCAACUAGUUGUCGGGUCUUAAUUGACUUGGUAACGCAGCUAACGCGUGAAGUUGACCGCCUGGGGAGUACGGUCGCAAGAUUAAAACUCAAAGGAAUUGAUGGGGACCCGCACAAGCGGUGGAUGAUGUGGAUUAAUUCGAUGCAACGCGAAAAACCUUACCUACCCUUGACAUGGCAGGAAUCCCGGAGAGAUUCGGGAGUGCUCGAAAGAGAACCUGCACACAGGUGCUGCAUGGCUGUCGUCAGCUCGUGCCGUGAGAUGUUGGGUUAAGUCCCGCAACGAGCGCAACCCUUGUCAUUAGUUGCUACGAAAGGGCACUCUAAUGAGACUGCCGGUGACAAACCGGAGGAAGGUCGGGAUGACGUCAAGUCCUCAUGGCCCUUAUGGGUAGGGCUUCACACGUCAUACAAUGGUACAUACAGAGGGCCGCCAACCCGCGAGGGGGAGCUAAUCCCAGAAAGUGUAUCGUCUCCGGAUUGGAGUCUGCAACUCGACUCCAUGAAAUUGGAAUCGCUAGUAAUCGCGGAUCAGCAUGUUCGCGGUGAAUACGUUCCCCCCGUCUUGUACACACCGCCCGUCACACCAUGGAAGCGGGUUUUACCAGAUAGUAGGUAGCUUACUCGCAAGGAGGGCGCUUACCACGGUAGGAUUCGUGACUGGGGUG